AUUGAACGCUGGCGGCAUGCUUUACACAUGCAAGUCGGACGGCAGCGGAGGUGCUUGCACCUGCCGGCGAGUGGCGAACGGGUGAGUAACAUAUUGGAAUGUACCGAGUAGUGGGGGAUAACCAAUCGAAAGAUUGGCUAAUACCGCAUACGUCCUGAGGGGGAAAGCAGGGGAUCUUCGGACCUUGCGCUAUUUGAGCAGCCAAUAUCUGAUUAGCUAGUUGGUGGGGUAAAGGCCCACCAAGGCGACGAUCAGUAGCGGGUCUGAGAGGAUGAUCCGCCACACUGGGACUGAGACACGGCCCAGACUCCUACGGGAGGCAGCAGUGGGGAAUUUUGGACAAUGGGGGCAACCCUGAUCCAGCCAUGCCGCGUGUCUGAAGAAGGCCUUCGGGUUGUAAAGGACUUUUGUUAGGGAAGAAAAGGGAAGUGUUAAUACCACUUUUUGCUGA
rnacentral:rRNA from 1 species